UGGGGAAUCUUGGACAAUGGGGGCAACCCUGAUCCAGCAAUGCCGCGUGUGGGAUGAAGGCCUUCGGGUUGUAAACCACUUUUGGCGGGGGCGAAAUAUCGAGUGCUAAUACCAUUCGGUGAUGACGGUACCCGCAGAAUAAGCACCGGCUAACUACGUGCCAGCAGCCGCGGUAAUACGUAGGGUGCAAGCGUUAAAUCGGAAUUACUGGGCGUAAAGCGUGCGCAGGCGGUUAGGUAAGACAGGUGUGAAAUUCCCGGGCUCAACCUGGGAACUGCAUUUGUGACUGCCUGACUAGAGUGCGGCAGAGGGGAGUGGAAUUCCGCGUGUAGCAGUGAAAUGCGUAGAUAUGCGGAGGAAACACCGAUGGCGAAGGCAAACUCCCUGGGCCUGCACUGACGCUCAUGCACGAAAAAGCGUGGGGGAGCAAAACAGGAUUAGAUACCCUGGUAGUCCACGCCCUAAAACGAUGUCGACUAGUUGUUGGACGGGUUACUGUUCAGUAAACG
rnacentral:rRNA from 1 species